GGGACGCGCAAAGGACCGCACUUUGAUUGCAGCCAUGAUGUGGGUGUCGCAAGGCACCUACCCUGCUGUAGGGAAAGUCCCCGGACAGGAGCGGCGAUGGAUCCCCACGGGGGCCUCUGUGGCGGCCGGCGCAGACUUGGGUGUGGUGGCGCUGGCGCCGUGUGUGCCUAUGCAUGGCUAGCGUGCUGUCCGUGCUGCGGCCUCGGAAAGCGAGUACGCUGUCAACGUGUGCGCGCCGCGGUGCGGGCAGGCGUGGUGCGGUGCAUCGGCGGCACCAUGUGCGCGCGGCGUGCGGCGUGAGCAUGCAUCGCAGAACGGCUCACGAGGCUGUGGGAUGCGGCGGUGGCGCGAAGAUAGGAGCGCGCCGUGGCUGCCCACGCGCCGGCUGAGCCGGGCGCGGUGUGUGCGCCUAGCCCAGGAGCCUCUGCGGCGGCCGUGGCAGGGCGUGCGCUUGUCGCGUCCUCGCCACGUUCGUCUUGGAUACAGGUAUGCGGUCGCCGUGCACCGGUAACACAAUGGGGCUUACUCUUGCGCGUCC
rnacentral:lncRNA from 1 species